GGAUAAAUUAAAUAAUUCAGGCAUUGUUUAGGAGUAAGGCAUAGAACGUGAACUAAAUACUUCUGCGGUAUGUCAAACAUUCACACGUUUGUUCACAGCAUUUUCAAAUGCAAGCUGUUCUCCAGAGGAGACUUGCCGUAUGUUCAAGUCCCGACACGGACCAGGACCCGCGUGCCAUCAGGAGCCUCAGUCCCUCCUCUGCAAGUGGAGACAGUGUCAGGUGCCCGCGAAGGUGUUGUGAGGACUGCCUACGUCACUCAGGGAAAGUGUUAUAUUUCCCUGUCUCUUUAGGAGCGUGUGAAGAACUCAGCCCAACAAGAGAACAAGCCACACCUGAUAAAGUUUCCUACCCGUGUUCUUCUGUGCCUUCAGACAAGACCUGGCUUGAAUUUGCUGCCUUUUCCAUGGGCCCGGCAUUCCCCGUGAAUGACAAUGACACGAAGCCCCCAUCUGCUCCCGCUUAUCACAGCUCCGCCCCGUGUGCUGUCACGUUGUCAACACAAAGACAAGGUCCGUCGGUGACCUCUGAUAGGGUAAGGACAGCGCUGGGAAGCAGCGGCACGAGUCAUUUUGUAGGUCACCCUCCUAGAAACCUCUGGCAAGCACAGGAGUCAUGUUCCUUCAGUAUGAGAAACCGAGUCGCCCUGUUGCUCCAUUAGUGAGGUAAGGUGUGACCGUUGGAGACCCCAGGGUCUUGGCACAGGUGAGCUGCCUCUCACCCACUGUCAGGGUGACCGGACAUCUUCUCAGGAGGGAGAUCAUCAUUUGGCGGGUCUGGGACCCGGGAGGACCCUGGGAUGCAUUUAGCUGCCGCCCGCGUUUGAGUAAAUGCACUAAGUGCGGGACAGGGACAAACCCGGGAGUGGAGGCAGGGAGGCCUGCAUUGUCACCGCAGCAAGCACAGGUCACGGAGACCAGUCACGCAGUUGUUAACGUCAUUAUUAACGUAGAGACUUCAGGAUGCGUGUUCCCACUGGACCUAGCCACACAGGGCUCUAAUUUCCAUCUGUUGGCACAUCGCGCGUGUGCCAUUACCUUCAGGACACCUUUAGAGAGACGUCAUGCCAACAAAUGCAUUUCCAAAUUCCAGUGGUCCUCACGUACUCCCCAAACCGACUGGGGCCUGAACUCAGUGGGAAAGUGGGGGUGCCACGUCUCAUUACUGACAACAGACACUUGCCCUGGGGCUCCAAAAUCCACUGAAAAUGGGCUGGAUGCCUUUCCCAAGAGCCACUCUUGGCUUGUCGCAGACUGACCUCAGAGAGGCUUCUGCGUGUCGUGUUACUUUAACAGAUGCCAAAAUGUUUUCUUGAUUUCUUCUUUAAAAUGACACAUUUAUUUUUUUAAAAUCUUCCAAACAACAAUUCCCUUUUCUAGGUUGCCUUUAUGCGGUUAGUUAAAUGCCAGCCUUCCAGGAAGUCACAGUGUUUCGUUUAAACUCGCUGUACCUCAGUGCUGUCGCACAAUAGAAAACUGCGGUCCACGGAACAUUUAACGAACCCUCUUCACAUCCACUAGUAUUUCUCUGCACCCUCGAAGCAAUUUAUUUUUUUAUUUUUUUAAAGAUUAUUUAUUUAUUUAUUUGACAGAGAUAGACAGCCAGCGAGAGAGGGAACACAAGCAGGGGGAGUGGGAGAGGAAGAAGCAGGCUUCCCAGUGGAGGAGCCUGAUGCGGGACUCGAUCCCAUAACGCCGGGAUCACGCGCUGAGCUGAAGGCAGACGCCCAACCACUGCACUACCCAGGCGCCCCCCUCGAAGCAAUUUAAAUUCACUAAAAGAGAGGAGCAGUUAUGUACCCUUCCUGAGUCUCAUCUCUAGGAAGAUUGUAUCUGUUUGAAAGCCGCCCCCAGGACAGUCAGAGCCAGCUUCCGAAACGCGGAGAGUACAGGUCCCGGUCCACGAAAUUCUGAUAUUUUGUUUAAUCUGGUGAUGUUCCAAAAACUCUUAAGAGAGUUAAGAGGGAAUGACUGUGAACGGGAAACUACUAGAAGGCUCAGCCGGCCGGGGCCUCUCCCCCUGCCUCUGUGGGGCCUCCGCGCCAACACAAGGCCUCCUGCCACACCGCGGAGGUCACUGGAGAGCCCGACGGGCGGGACCCACUGAUCCCGCACACAGAGCAUGAGAUGCCCUGCAGACACACACCUUGCCCACGGCCCGUGCCAGCUAUUUGCUGAAGUAACAAGGACGUAAGUGAGCUCCAGCCUCGCCUGCUCCCAUCCUCACCUCCAGGGAUGCAGCCAGAUGUUGCUCAGGGCCCGUGGGCAUGAAGAGUACGCGUCCCUGAAUCCCAGAUUCCACCAACGCCACCGCGUGACGCUCCCGCCUGAAAGCCCGCCCAGGUGCCACAGGCCCCCCGCCUCCCGCCUCCCGCUCAGAGCCCAGGGUUCGCGAGUCGGCGUGGUGCCAGCGUGCUGGGGUGGUCGGCGCCGGGGUGUCUGUUGAAUUUCUUGGCACUAAAAGCCUCCUGCAAGCAUCUGGUUUUGGCGGACUGCCAUAAAUUGUCAGGUGACCUGUUGACCUGAGCCUGAAUAAUGACUCAGAUUUUAUAAGGAAUGUUAGCUAAGUUUGAGUCACAGGAUUUUUUUUUUCUUUUUAAAAAGGAGGUUAUUUCAAGAUGACUAUAGGUUGACAUCAGAGUCACUGACAGGCGCCCUAUCGGCAUGCGGGGGGCCGGCCCAUCCUCCCGACUGAGCCACCACGCCACCCUGCUGACCCACUUCCCUCGGCGACCUUCUGUGGCAAAUGGCCAGCCCCAACACCAAGCUGCGAUGGUGCCGUCCCCGCGGGGCCUUGUUCUCCUCCCGUCCAUGACGGUCUUUUCUUUAAAAAGGCAAACUUCUCUGCAAGUUGAUAAAUAAAAGAACAAAUGACACACACAACUAAUGACAAAUAAAGGGCAAGAACGGGCACUGGUUUGCAAUAAAGGGUUUGCGUUCCGCGUUGGGGUGAGUGGGCUUUGAACCCAGCCCCAGGCCCUGUGUCCAUCAGAGUCAAGGUGAAGGCUGGGGGGUCCCCUGGGCCCCCAUAGAGGAGACAUGACACCUGCCUGCAGAGCUCAGAGGACAGGCAGGCGGGACUGCAGGGCUGGGGAGAGCUGGAGCAAAGGUGAUCCUCACACCCUGACCAUUUGGAAAUUAGUGAUCACGCACUCACCAAAGUGUUUGGGGGAUCGAAGCUCCCCAUUCUGUUGAAUAGUUUAUUGGCACCCGACUUACAAAAUAAUCGCCCCAGAACAAGUGAAUGAACUUGUGUGUGAGCUUUCUCAGGACCUGAGUUCUUUGAUGAACACAGUCCUCUCUUCUAAGAAGGCCAACGUACAGACUGUGUUACGGACCUCCCAAGUGUAUGCGCCUCUCUUACAACUCUCUUCGUGUUGGGUACAGCAAGGGCACCGUUAAUGGGACAGGCGUGAACACAGUCUGUGGCAGGCCACGCCUGGACCAGGAAUGUCGGCGAUGUCACAUAGGAUGCAGGAGCUGGGGAGGGGCAAGGAGAUGCUGAGGAAAGGUGUCUGCAACCAUUUUCCCCACUCGUUCAUGUGCACUGUGCCAGGUACAGCACUGCUGGCUACAUGCCCGUGUGGGUGCAGGUGUGUGUCCCUGCAGGUGUGU
rnacentral:lncRNA from 1 species